rnacentral:rRNA from 1 species
UACGUAGGGUGCGAGCGUUAAUCGGAAUUACUGGGCGUAAAGCGUGCGCAGGCGGUUCUGUAAGCCAGAUGUGAAAUCCCCGGGCUCAACCUGGGAAUGGCAUUUGGGACUGCAAGGCUGGAGUUUGGCAGAGGAGACUGGAAUUCCUGGUGUAGCAGUGAAAUGCGUAGAUAUCAGGAGGAAUACCGAUGGCGAAGGCAGGUCUCUGGGCUAUAACUGACGCUCAUGCACGAAAGCGUGGGGAGCAAACAGG